AUGGAGAUCACGAGCAGCACGAUGGUGAAGCCGGUGUGCUCGGUGCCGCACCCGCUCGUCGGCGAGAAGGUCCCGCUGACCGUCUUCGACCGUGCCGCCGCGGACGCCUUCAUCCCCACCGUGCUCGUGUACCCCGGGCCGGCGCCGUCCAACGAGGCGGUCAAGGAAGGACUCCUCAAGGCUAUCACAGCAUACCCACACCUGGCAGGGCGCCUCGCCCUCGACGAUCAUGGCCGGCGCUUCCUCCACGUCAACAACGAGGGCGUGUUCCUGAUCGAGGCCACCGUGCCGGUCGACCUCGCGGACGUGCUCGUCGACGGCCGCAUGGCCGCAGAUGUGGAGGACCCCUACCCUACGAUACCAGAGGAGAGCUUUGGGGUGGCGCUGCUGCAGAUCCAGCUCAACAGGUACAGGUGCGAUGGUCUCGUGGUCGGCAUAUGCUCCCACCAUCAGGCCGCCGACGGCCACUCCAUGAGCAUGUUCUUCACCGCGUGGGCGACGGCGGUGCGCGAGGGUAAGGACUUCACCACGCCGACCCCAUUCCUCGACCGUGCGAGAACGUCCGUGCCUCGAAGCACGCCAACGCCGGUGUUCAACCACCGAUCACUGGAGUUCACGUGUGGAGACCGAGACGCCUACGCCGUCGUCCCCAUGGACAGGAUCAAAAACCUAACGGUGCACUUCACGGCCGAGUUCGUCGCCGACCUCAAAGCCCGCGUCGGCGCCCGCUGCAGCACGUUCCAGUGCCUCCUCGCGCACGUCUGGAAGAAAAUCACGGCGGCGCGGGAGCUGAAGCCGGAGGAGUUCACCAAGGUGAGGGUGGCCGUGAACUGCAGGGGCAGGGCUAGCCCGCCCGUGCCGAUGGACUUCUUCGGGAACAUGGUGCUCUGGGCUUUCCCAAGGCUUCAGGUCCGGGACGUCCUGAGCUCGAGCUACGGCAGCGUGGUCGGCGCCAUCCGCGACGCCGUGGCACGCAUCGACGACGAGUACGUGCAGUCCUUCGUGGACUUCGGCGGAGUGGCGGACGCGAACGGGGAGGAGCUCGUCGCGACGGCGGCCGCUGCCGGCACC
rnacentral:rRNA from 1 species